GGGGGAUUAGCUCAAAUGGUAGAGCGCGCGCUUAGCAUGCGCGAGGUAGCGGAUCGAUACCCGCAUUAUCCA
rnacentral:tRNA from 1 species